AAACAGCGAAAUAAUGAACCUCAUAUAAUUUUGGGAAUAUGGCCCAUAAGUUUCUACCUGACCGCCGUAAAUUGGUCGGACUAUGAGGGGAAGUUAGCACUAU
rnacentral:ncRNA from 2 species